rnacentral:tRNA from 1 species
GGCCCAUUAGCUCAGUUGGUUAGAGCGUCGUGCUAAUAACGCAAAUGGGCCA